rnacentral:misc_RNA from 1 species
GCAUCGAUGAAGAACGCAGCGAAAUGCGAUAAGUAAUGUGAAUUGCAGAAUUCAGUGAAUCAUCGAAUCUUUGAACGCACAUUGCGCCCCUUGGUAUUCCGAGGGGCAUGCCCGUUCGAGCGUCAUUAUAACCCCUCAAGCCCAGCUUGGCGUUGGGGCCUGCUGUUGCCGGCAGCCCUUAAAAUCAGUGGCGGUGCCAUCUGGCUCUAAGCGUAGUAAUACUUCUCGCUACAGAGUCCUGGUGGAUGCUUGCCAUCAACCCCUAAAUUUCUAUGGUUGACCUCGGAUCGGGUAGGGAUACCCGCUGAACUUAAGCAUAUCAAUAAGCGGAGGA